rnacentral:rRNA from 1 species
AUAAACGCUGGCGGCGUGCCUUAAACAUGCAAGUCGGACGGGGUAACCGCAAGGUUGCCUAGUGGCGGACGGCUGAGUAACACGUGAGUAACCUACCUCCGAGCGGGGCAUAACGCCGGGAAACCGGGGCUAAUUCCGCAUGAGGUCUGCUAGUGCAACUCUGGCAGACGAAAGCCGCAAGGUGCUCGGAGAUGGGCUCGCGGCCCGAUUAGCUAGUUGGUGGGUAAGGCCUACCAAGGCGACGAUCGGUAGCCG